UACGUAGGGUGCAAGCGUUAAUCGGAAUUACUGGGCGUAAAGCGUGCGCAGGCGGUUUUUCAAGACAGAUGUGAAAUCCCCGGGCUUAACCUGGGAAUGGCAUUUGUGACUGGAAGGCUAGAGUGUGUCAGAGGGGGGUAGAAUUCCACGUGUAGCAGUGAAAUGCGUAGAGAUGUGGAGGAACACCGAUGGCGAAGGCAGCCCCCUGGGUCAAGAUUGACGCUCAUGCACGAAAGCGUGGGGAGCAAACAGG
rnacentral:rRNA from 1 species